GGGCCCGCACAAGCAGUGGAGUAUGUGGUUUAAUUCGAAGCAACGCGAAGAACCUUACCAGGACUUGACAUCCUACUAACGAAGUAGAGAUACAUCAGGUGCCCUUCGGGGAAAGUAGAGACAGGUGGUGCAUGGUUGUCGUCAGCUCGUGUCGUGAGAUGUUGGGUUAAGUCCCGCAACGAGCGCAACCCUUACGGUUAGUUGCUACGCGAGAGCACUCUAGCCGGACUGCCGUUGACAAAACGGAGGAAGGUGGGGACGACGUCAAAUCAUCAUGCCCCUUAUGUCCUGGGCUACACACGUACUACAAUGAUGGUCAUACAGAGGGAGGCAAUACAGCGAUGUGGAGCAAAUCCCUAAAAGCCCAUCUCAGUUCGGAUUGCAGGCUGAAACUCGCCUGCAUGAAGUCGGAAUUGCUAGUAAUCGCGGAUCAGCAUGCCG
rnacentral:rRNA from 1 species